UUGGAAUGAAACCUGCUUACAACAAAGGUGACCACCUCUGAGCCAGAGUGACAACAGUUCUGAACUGGUCUAAGGGCAGUGAUAUGCCUAAAGGGGAACUGAGCCCCUCAAUUCUGCCUCCUGCUGCUGCCAAGCUUUCAGAAGUGACAAGCUAAGGACAGGAAAUCUGGUAAGAGUGUGCUAUUCGGUCCCCAGGGGUCAUGUGCUCUCACAAAUUACUUUUUUGAUGGUGUUACUGUCUGUGUGCCAUCCUUCUGUUUCCUACAACUAGAUGAGAAUAUCUUGCAAGCCUGUGUUGCCCGUUAGUGGACAAAGUCCCUGGCCCCCUGGAGGGGAACAGAGAAGCUGAUGCUGAUGAUGGAGGGGCAUUCCUAUGAAUGCUAAGCAGAAGGGAUGGCUGAUAUCAUGUGUGUGCAGGAAUGGUCCCACCUUCCUGUGUGUCAGAAGACCUACAGACAUCCCCAAGAGGGAGACAUCAGGGGAUCACACUGCUCAGAGCUGACUGCAGGUCAGACAUUGCUUUCAAAACUGUCCCUCAUCAGGACAGGGGCACACUAUGCCACUGCAGGACAGCAAGAGAGAUGUACCCUU
rnacentral:lncRNA from 1 species